GACGAACGCUGGCGGCGUGCUUAACACACGCAAGUCGAACGGAAAGGCCCAGCUUGCUGGGUGCUCGAGUGGCGAACGGGUGAGUAACACGUGGGUGAUCUGCCUCUAACUUCGGGAUAAGCUUGGGAAACUGGGUCUAAUACCGGAUAGGACAAUCGUUUAGUGUCGGUUGUGGAAAGUUUUUUCGGUUAGGGAUGAGCCCGCGGCCUAUCAGCUUGUUGGUGGGGUAAUGGCCUACCAAGGCGUCGACGGGUAGCCGGCCUGAGAGGGUGGACGGCCACAUUGGGACUGAGAUACGGCCCAGACUCCUACGGGGGGCAGCAGUGGGGAAUAUUGCACAAUGGGCGCAAGCCUGAUGCAGCGACGCCGCGUGGGGGAUGACGGCCUUCGGGUUGUAAACCUCUUUCGACAGGGACGAAGCUUUGGUGACGGUACCUGUAUAAGAAGCACCGGCUAACUACGUG
rnacentral:rRNA from 1 species